GCAGGUGGUUUUGUUAAGUCAGAUGUGAAAGCCCGGGGCUCAACCUCGGAAUUGCAUUUGAAACUGGCAAACUAGAGUACUGUAGAGGGGGUAGAAUUUCAGGUGUAGCGGUGAAAAUGCGUAGAGAUCUGAAGGAAUACCGGUGGCGAAGGCGGCCCCCUGGACAGAUACUGACACUCAGAUGCGAAAGCGUGGGGAGCAAACAGGAUUAGAUCCCCUGGUAG
rnacentral:rRNA from 1 species